rnacentral:lncRNA from 1 species
GUCUACCAUGGGCAAAGAUCUGUGUUAGACAUGAGGGACAUCAAGACAAAAAGGGUGGUUCAGACUAUCAUGCUAGUCACAAACAUAACAAAGAUAUAAUUCUGAAACAAAAGAUGAAGGUGGAGGGUGAUCUUCCACAGACCUCUACCUUAGGAAUAUGGGAACGGGGUUAUUCCUUGCCUUUGCAAGGUCAAAAAGAAUCACAGAAUUGAGAAAAUCGGGGAAAUUUAGAUUCAGAGAAGUUUUGCUGAUUUAUGGAAAAGGCAGCCCCUGAAGUGAUCCUAAUUAUGAACAGGUUGGAAAUUAGAAGUUAAACAGGAGUUAAACAAAUUUUUCAGUCCUAAAUUGUUUAGAGGCUCUGGUCGAGGACAUGCACCCACCCUCCCAACAAUAAAAAAAAUCAGAUUAAAAUACACAUUUAGUCUGGCUGAUUGUUCUGUGUUGCAAAAGAAGUUGGCACUUGGAGGUAAAGUUGGAACUUUUCUGUGUAAAGAAGUAGCUGUACCACCAGCACGGCUCUGAGGACUAACAUAUUUUCCUCUGCUCUUAGGAAGAAAUCAACCAAGUUCCAAGCAUUUCUUUGCAAGUUUCCAAGGUCUUUCGGUGCUACAAUCCAACAACCAAUAUCCUUUCCUUAAGGUCUGGAGAAGCUUCUGAAGCCUCAUUUCUUAUUGACAAAUUUGGAAAAUCUGGCUUUCUGACAACCCAAGGGUGAUAAAGCCAGCUGUCCAAAGCUUCUCUCAACAUAAGUCUGCAGUGCUUCAGAGGAGAAAGUAAAUAAGAUCUGAAGGGGAUCAGAACAUUUUAUAAUGAAGAUGAAGCAUCUAAAUGGAAAGCAGGAAGCAAAAACAAAGAAAACAAUUAAGAAAACUUCCCCAAAACCAGGAUUCCCAAAUUCUAAGCAGAGCUAUCCAAUCAUAUAUAUGAAUUUACGUUCAAGAUGCAUUGGAAAAGCAAAUAUCAGUCGUAAUGUGAGAAGCUACCAACUGAAAAGGACACUGUAUACGAAUAAUCUGAACAUAUCUAGCAUUGAAUGUUCAGUGGAAUUUUGGCAGGAAAAGUGCUACACUGGCUUGAAUACAUUCAAAAAUAAGGCUGUCACCUUUUUUUUUGAAAAUGGAAACUAUGAGAUCUUUGUUGAAGAUUUACCUGAAAAUGAAGAGCGAGGUUUGCUGUACUUGGAAUACUUCACCACUAAAAAUUCAUACAGAGGAGAUGCUUUGGUGGUCCUGGCUCCUCAGCCCUCUGACAUUCGUCUUCAGCUGCAUGCCAAUGAUCAGAAUGAUCUUGAGCUUCACAAGCAUGAACACCACCACCAAGCUCAGAGAAAGAAAUUAUUCUUUAUGCAUUCAGAAGGGUCUGGGUUUGUUUCAUUUGAGUCUUUCUAUGCUCGAGGAUUCUAUAUUGGUGUAAAGGAAAAUCGCCUGGAACUUAUGAAGAAAAAAGAAGAUAUAAUCCUGACUCUGUAG